ACAUGAAAAUUAAUUAACCUUGACAUAGGUUCCACCUCGACAGCCAAAACAGACAGUACUACCACAGUACAAACAACCACAAACGAAACAACAACUGGAGAGCCUACAGUCUUAAACGAUGGAACUAUUGCUGGUAUUUCAGUUGCAGCAAAUUUAGUGGCCGUAGUCAUUGUAGUUCUUGCCGUAUAGUCAAAACGGAGGAAGAUAAAAGCAAGGGACUAACGAUCCCAAUGUCUAAUUAAAAGAGCAUCAGAACCAUCUUACUGCAAUUUUUUACUGCAAUUUUUUACUGCAAUUUUUUACUGCAAACCAGUGAAUGUGAUUUUAAACCACCGGACUAGUCUUAUUGAGUAUGGCUAUCCAGCCAUAUAUAACUUGAUUUCGUUAAGUUUUUGCACAGGAGCUUUACAUUCGAUUACAAGAUUAGAGUGCAAACACUAAAAGUGUGAAAGUGCAGUACAUUUUAAAUAUAUUUUUCCGAAUGCGGAACUAAAAAAUAAAUAAAUAAAUAAAUCUUUUUAUGCACAUAUCAACCACUUUUUGUGAACACACUGAAAAAUGUUACGUUUCAAUUUCGAGACCGUUGGAUACGAUUCCAAAUCUUGAGAUUUCAGGUACACAGUAUAGUACACGGCCCUGUUUGUGUUUUUCAUAUUUUUUGCGUUUGCACUCUAUAAACAUCAAUACUUUAUCUUAAUAACGAUGUAACAAUACGAAGGAGCGAUUGACCUCCUGCCCACUUGCACCGUUGUGAUCCAUGCCACAACCUGAAAAACUCUAUCAUUUUGUUUUGUAUUUCUUCAUUGUUUGUUUCAACAAAUUGGAUUGUGGAUUGCAAAUAUUUUUUAUAGUAGGAAUAAAUACUAAUUCGAAGUUUACCAGCAGUUAAGGUACGGUAAUACGAGCAGAAAAAUCGUACAACUUUUGUGUAUGCUUUCAAACCUUCUUCCAAUGCCUUCGUCACUUUGCACACAGAAGACACAGAAGUAUUCUAAAUGGUCAUGUGUCACAAUACAUUUUAAGUUGUUUAGAAGCAAUUUUUAACUUAAUUAGUUCGUCUCCCCAUUCUCUGUUACACGGAAAGUUUUUUUUAAAUAGCACGUUAUUUUAUGGAGUUAUUUACAAAAAACGCUAAAAUACAAUCUUGGACAAAAAGAGUUGAGAAUUAUUUUAAUGCCG